rnacentral:tRNA from 1 species
GGAAGCGGAUGGGUAACUGGUGUGCCCCCUGGCCUCUAAAGCCAGUGUAGGGCGGUAUAACGUCCUGGGUGGGUUCGAUUCCCACACGCCUCCGCCA